AACGAACGCUGGCGGCAGGCUUAACACAUGCAAGUCGAGCGCCCCGCAAGGGGCGCGGCAGACGGAUGAGUAAUGCGUGGGAACGUACCCUUUGCUACGGAAUGGCUUCGGGAGACUGGAAUUAAUUCCGUAUGUGGCCUACGGGGGAGAGAUUUAUCGGCAAAGGAUCGGCGCGCGGUGGAAUAGCUAGUUGGUGGGGUAGUAGCCUACCAAUGCGAAGAUCCAUAGCUGGUCUGAGAGGAUGAUCCGCCACAUUGGGACUGAGACACGGCCCCAACUCCAACGAGAGGCAGCAGUGGGAAAUAUUGGACAAGGGGCACAAGCCUUAUCCAGCCAUGCCGCGUUAGUAAUGAAAGCCUUAGGGUUGUAAAGCUCUUUCACCAGACAAGAUAAUGAAUGUGUCCGGAGAAGAAGCCCCGGCUAACUUCGUGCCAGCCGCCGCGGUAAUAC
rnacentral:rRNA from 1 species